AUGAAACUGGAAUUUGUUUCCUAUUUUUCUUCAUUAUUUGUUUCCUUUCAUGCAGACCUUGUUCUGAAAGACAAGAUUGUUGUUUAUGAUUUGGCUGGCCAAAGGAUUGGAUGGGCUAACUAUGACUCAGAACAGACCUGCAUUCUCACUACCUUGAUAGAGAAGAUAAGGAACAACCAGAGAAAAGAUUGCAUAAUUUGAGGUAUCGGAAAUGGAUAAGAGCUGGAUAAAUGAUCCAAAUAUUUUGUCAAGUCAUUAUAAGUCUGGUCUUAAGGAUUUUAUUGAAUUUGCUAAGACCAAUGGUAUGGGAUUGGAUGGAAAAUUAUUUUGUCCCUGUAGGAGAUGUAGGAAUUCAAAGAGAAAAAGCAUUUCUCAAGUUGAAU